rnacentral:misc_RNA from 1 species
UCCGGUUUGUCACCGGCAGUCCCCUUAGAGUGCCCAACUGAAUGAUGGCAACUAAGGGCGAGGGUUGCGCUCGUUGCGGGACUUAACCCAACAUCUCACGACACGAGCUGACGACAGCCAUGCAGCACCUGUGUUCCGAUUCCCUUUCAGGCACACCCACCUUUCAGCAGGCUUCCGGACAUGUCAAGGGUAGGUAAGGUUGUUCGCGUUGCAUCGAAUUAAUCCACAUCAUCCACCGCUUGUGCGGGUCCCCGUCAAUUCCUUUGAGUUUUAAUCUUGCGACCGUACUCCCCAGGCGGCUCAUUUAAUGCGUUAGCUUCGGCACAAAGGGGGUCAAUACCCCUCACACCUAGUGCCCAUCGUUUACAGCGUGGACUAC